GGUGGUUCGUUGUGCGCCCCGGCCAAAUGUGCUGCAGUGCGAGCAUGAGCGCAGGGUUUUAGGAAAGCAAGCGAUAUGGCCUGCCCACGUAGCCACUUGCUUUAUGUCUGUUAUAUAUAUCUGUUGAGAGAAGGAAGAUUGCGCAUUAUAUAUUAGGAAAAAUUCCGCGCAACGUUUUACCUCUGCUGUUCAUGCUUUGUGGUGUCCGAAUUGCGGUGAAGUAUAUACGUCAAGUCGGGUACCGAAGAAGAGUACGAGGAGAAAGAACGACUCCUUGAGGAGAUUUGGACGCUCGCGAGGGAGUACGGAUACAAAACCAGAAGCCGCAAGACACAGUCGGUUGCGGCUUAGAGAAGUUUUGCUACAACAGUCCGUGACAGCGCAGCAGCUACGGUGGCACCACCAGUGCUGUUAAGCAUAAAUUCAGAGCCACUCAAUGCUGAUGGGACCUUUGACGACACAGUUGACAGUGCCACGGAACUGUUGGAGAGAGUGGCACGUGGCACAGACACAAUGGAAGCGCAAGGUUCCUCUGCAAGCAGCGACGAGAUCCAGCGCACCCAGCGACCAAGGUUGCCGAGCCCAGGCGCGUUAAGACACAAUGAGGACGACGGGACUGAGACAGGAGCUGUGAUAGUUGCGCCUAGAAAGGGAAGGGCUCAAGCUGCGGCAGCAACUGCGGACCAUGAGUUCCUGGAAAAAAGAUGGAGACAUGAAAGUGCCCUUAAGGAGAAAGAACAUGACAUAGAAAUGGAGCGGCUCGCCAUAGAAAGAAUGAGAAUUGAGCUUAAACAUAAACGGUGGGGAAAAAAAACACGAAUUGAGGCAAAGAAAGACGGAACGAAAAUUGCAGCUGCGCGAGCGGAAAUUUCAAACGCAAUUGGAUGAAUCAAGCCAGAGGGAGCAGCACUUAAGGUUUUACAAGACUACUCAGCAAGCAAUACAUGCUAUUGUAGAAACACUGGCUAAUAAGCUAGGCAAGUAGACAACACAGAAUACUUUUUUCCACAGUCGCCCAUUAAAGGGACACUAAAUGAUAAAUGAUACAAUUGAACAAUAUUAACAAACUGCUUAUUUGCACUACAAGAUAAGUUAUGCUUACUGUGAGAAGACGCUUAGCAGGCCAGAAAAGGAAAAACAAAAGCCAAGUGGCAAUGUUGCCUUGAAGUUCCCACAAUAAGUGGCUGUGACAUCGCGGAUUUUGACAAUUUCCUUUAUUUAGUUCAAUUAUUCAUCGCA